GCUGAUUGGUUGCUCCUCUGUCAUGUGAUUCUUAGGUUUUACAAAGCAGAUCCUUCAGCCUUGUGAAUAUACGUUUGUAUAUGGAAGCCAGGAAAUCAGCGCCAAAGGUUCUACACUCUGACAGACCUUAAAUUUCUGCCUAAUGCUGUUCCCCCUGAAGGGACAAAUUUUAGUGUGCCUCUUCUGCCCCCCAGUGGUCAAUAUAAUUUUUUAUAAAUUCUGGCCAGGCUUUUAACCCAGGCCCUUUUCUGAGUAAAUUUUUUCCAGUUGAACCAGUCGAUAAAAGGUAAUCUCAUUUGCUUUUGUUCUGGUCAUAUUUUUCCGUUAUGUUUCGAUAUUAAGCAAACAUAAAAAUGUAGUGUGAUCUCUGAGGUCUAGCUACAGAGGUAUCAGGCUGUUUUUCCACAUCUUCUGAAGUGUUAUUAGUUUGUCUGCUUUCUCGGUUAUAUGUAUUAACGUAAAACGCACCACAAACCAGACAAGCAAAUUAUAGGUUGUACCUUUUUUUUUGUUAAAGCCAUUUCCUAUUUUAACGAGCGCAGCAGGAGUAUGAGUGCAGCAUUUGGUCUUGAUCCCCUUUCAUUCAGUGCCAGUGCACCUCAGAAGGGCUGCCUGUUACUUCCAGGGCUUCAGCCAAUGGAGACGGGCUCCCUCGGAUGGUGCGGCGGUUACAUAAUAAUUGCAGUGGAUUCAGAUUAAAGCUGGCUUUUAUUGCUGGCUAAUUAUUGCAGGGGUGUUUCGGAAGAGGCUGCCAGAAUCCCACCAGGCUGCUAUCAGCCAGAUAUGAAGCGGCUGAAUGACUCCCUUUGAUUUUUCCUCAGUAGUGCACUUUUAAGUUUCGCAGUACACCUUCCUGUCUGCCCUUUUAUCUCGUGUUGUGACUGUCUACAACCGUGUUUCCCAAACCGGUCUUCGGGGACUCUCACACCAUCCAUGCUUUUGCUCCGAGUGCUGGGAAGGAGCAAAAACGUGGACUGGCUGGUGAUCUCCGAGGACUGGGUUUGGAAAGACUGGUCCACCAUAUCCCGUUUAAGGUCCAUCUUGGAUGUUUUCUGGCAAUUCCUCUCCUCCAAACCGCAGUCUGAAAGUCAGAGGAAGGGCAUGUGCGACCGUCUUGGGCCUCUCCACUCGCUGUACCAUCCUCUGCUGCCGUUCUCUCAUCUCUCCAAACCCCUCCCCCACUCCCUCCCCCUCCCCAUGUGGCUCUUUCCUUGUGUGUCCUUCCUCGUUAAAUUCCAGACUGUUCCUGACUGCUGCAAAUCACGUUUUAACAGUCUAAUCACACAGUCACUGGCGGUAAAUGCCAUAAUUGUUUCUAAUCUCAUUCUUUUGCAUCACACUGUAAUGACAAAGUUGGUCAUUAAGGUUUAAUAACUGUUGCCAUGCCACCGAUUUUUAUUUAUUUAUUGGGGAGAGAAGGUUUCCCCUUGCAUAAAAAUCAGAGCACAGUUCGCAUUAGAUUUUGCUUGUUUUCUUCAACAGUGGUCCAGUAGCACAAAUUUUAAAGCAGGAAGCGUAAACAAGUUUAGUCUUGCCAAUAUGACUUUUGGGUUAAGAAGGGAAGCAAAUCAGUUUUCCUGAAACACUGAAGAAUGUAGAUGAAUGUGCUAAUCGCUUUUUCCUGCUGUGCAUCUGUGCCCAAUGAGACAUGUAGGAAUAUGACAGAGGAUGAGGCCCGACUCAAUCCAUCCGAUAUCCGAGCACAGUGAACGCGACCUUUAAUUUGGAGACCUUUCCGGAGCGUUCCGUCACAGAAGUGUCACAGGGCACAGCGCAUUCGAUUAAUACUCUCGCUCACUUUUUCCUUAGAGGAGAAGGGGCCUGCUCAUAUGGGGGGUGGGGGGUAGGUAAAAUCUGGUAGGUGGUUGAUUACCGUGAAAUGCUCGAAUACCUUGGAAGGUGGCUCAUAAUUUGCCAUCAUCGCCCCCCUCCCAGUCUUGUGAAAUGCUCAUAGAUUGCAUGCUCAUGUGUGGUCAUACUCCUAAAUGUUCAUUUCCUAUCACGUACUGUAAGGAUAUUAAUCAUCAAAUCAUUGGCUUUUUUUGUUCCUUGUCUUUCCUCAUUUCUUGUGCAUUUCUCUUUGUCUCAAUGUGUUUUACGCUUUUCAGUUAAUACUACUGUGUGCUUGCCAUAAUUUCUCUUUACGACAUUUAAAAUUUGUUUGGUUUUAAUAAAGAAUUCAGAUCACCCCCAAA